AUUGAACGCUGGCGGCAGGCCUAACACAUGCAAGUCGAGCGGAGGAAGGGAGCUGGCUCCUGGAUUCAGCGGCGGACGGGGGGGUAAUGCCUAGGAAUCGGCCGGGUAUGGGGGGAUAACGUCCGGAAACGGGCGCUAAUACCGCAUACGUCCGGAGGGGGAAAGGGGGGGAUCUUGGGACCUCACGCUAUCAGAUGAGCCUAGGUCGGAUUAGCUAGUUGGUGGGGUAAAGGCCUACCAAGGCGACGAUCCGUAACUGGUCUGAGAGGAUGAUCAGUCACACUGGAACUGAGACACGGUCCAGACUCCUACGGGAGGCAGCAGUGGGGAAUAUUGGACAAUGGGCGAAAGCCUGAUCCAGCCAUGCCGCGUGUGUGAAGAAGGUCUUCGGAUUGUAAAGCACUUUAAGUUGGGAGGAAGGGCAGUAAGUUAAUACCUUGCUGUUUUGACGUUACCAACAGAAUAAGCACCGGCUAACUUCGUG
rnacentral:rRNA from 1 species